rnacentral:lncRNA from 1 species
ACUAAUCCAUGUUGAUUUCAUUUUUUAAAGCUAGGAUGCUAAAGCACCCCGAGAAAUUUAUUAAAGAAAGACAAAAGGAAACAUUACAUAUUGGAGAAUCUAUAGUUGGGAAGCCACAAAGAUUGGAUCCCAUAAAGAUUAGACCAGGGAUUGAAUCCCACCAAGUAAAAGUUCUAGAUUGGAUCCCAUGGUUAGCUAGCAAAUCCAUACAAGAAUUUCCUUCCCUAAAGAUAUGAGAAAUUAUCCACCAAUUGCCUAGGAAUUGUCCAUUUACCCGGAUGAAUGAAGUCAGCCACAUUGUCCUUAAGGUCAGAUAUAAGAGCCAAAGGGAUGUUCAAGCCCCCAUAUGUUGUUGUUUUAAAAAUAUUGAUGAGGGGUACCUGCACAUCACCUAAAAAAUUGAUAACAACAAUAAAGGUUUCUUAACUAGUGGGUAUUCACUCUAGUAGUUCCAACUUUUUUUUGUGUUUUUAAUUUUUAAACGUAAAAAACAGAAAAAUAAUUUAAAGGAUGAACAAAAAUAAAAUAAAAUUUAUACAAAAGUGAAAGAAAAUUGUAUUUACAAUUACUAAUGACAAGAAAUAUAAGUAAGAAUUUCUAUUAUCUUGUAAUUCCCCGGCAACGGCGUCAAUGUUUUGAAAAUUUUAUUUGAGGUUUUCCCUUCUCAACAAAUUGUCCCCGACAAUGGCGCUAAUUUGUUGAAAGAGUUUUACUGCUUGCUUGAUUGAGGCAACAAGUUUCUGAUUGUUUUUAUUUAAUGACAGGUCAAUUCUUUGCUCCGCCAUCUCGGCUUUGUUGAAAUAAAUUCUAAUGUUGAUAUAAUGGUUUUGAAGAAUGUUCCUUUAAUAAAAAACUUAACUUUAUUGAAUUAUUAACAAUUUCAUAUCAUCUCAGCUUUGUUGGAAUAAAUUCCAACCAAGGUUUAAUGAUAUGAAUUUAGCAAAUUAAUACAACAAGUGAUUAUGAGUGAUAUUUAAUUAGUUAGUGACUUUAUUUAUUUACUCAUUUUUCGGGUUCCUUUUAACCAUACCAUAAAGGUCGAUCUCAUUUUAUUAAAUUAACCAUACCAUUUUUAUGAAAGGUUGGUAUCAAAGAAUAAUAAAAUGACAAAAGAAUAAAGUUAGAAGUUAACCGUACCACUUCUUUCAAAGGGUUGGUAUAAAGAAUAAAUAAAGCAAUAAAUAAUUAGUUGCAGAAAUUAAAUUAUAGGGUUAUGUCGAACGAUAAGGAAUUUCCUAAUAUAAAUACAUUCAUACUUUGUGUCUUUUAUCAAAAGUAAUAAAGUAAAAAUUAAAGUUGUUUUUGUGAUUUUAUGAAUUAAGAAACAUGAAAAAGUAAAGAACUAACUAUUUACAAAUUCAAGAAGGGAAAAUUGAUUUGAAAGAUUGAAUUAUUUCUUGACUCAAAUGAUUAUGAAAAUAUUACAAGUUAUGUGUUAUACUUUCGGUUAAUUCCACACACCAUUUCUAAAUCCUUCAUCUAGUGUCCUAGAAUGAUAAGAUGAUUUUCAAACAUAUAUAAUACACUAAAAAAUAGUUAAGUGUCACUUGUCAAAGUAGGUUGUCACACCCUACUUCAGGCUCCAUUAACAUUAUUUAGCCUUGAACAUAAGUUGCUUAAAAUAGAUGCUUGAGGUGGCAAGUUAACUAAGGUGUAGCUUACACUUUUUAGUUCACUUGUCAACAAUUUAAGAAGAAGCAUUUUGGAUCUUUAAAUCUAGUUUUAUGUGAUCAAGCUAAAACUGCAUUAAGAACUUCAUAAAGAAUCAAAACUUAACCAAAAAGUAAUAACUUGAAUGUAUUGAAAUCAAAACAAGAUACAAAUGAAGAAAGGAAAUAAUGUUAUACCAUAAUCCAAGUCAAUAUGUAGGAGCAUGAGCCAUCUAUCCAAGGAUGAGAUGCUUUUGAUUCCAAAUGAGGUUGCAAAAUCAUGUUUUUGCACCUCAUUUGUCAACUGCAUUCCCUUUGAACUUCUAUGAACGAAAAGCCUAAGAACAACCUAAAAACACUCUCAAAUGAGAGAGAAGUGAAAAUGAAAGAAAGUAGAAGAGAUUACAAAG